CAUCAAGAAAAGAUGAAACUGGCUGGCGCAGUGGCUCACGCCUGUAAUCCCAGCACUUUGGGAGGCCGAGGUGGGUGGAUCACCUGAGGUCGGGAUUUCGAGACCAGCCUGACCAACAUGGAAAACCCUGUCUCUACUAAAAACACAAAAUUAGCUGGGCGUGAUGGUGCAUGCCUGUAAUCCCAGCUACUCGGGAGGCUGAGGCAGGAGAAUCACUUGAACCCGGAAGGCAGAGGUUGCGGUGAGCCGAGAUUGCACCACUGUACUCCAGCCUGGGCAACAAGAGUGAAACUCUGUCUCAAAAAAGAAAAGAAAAGAAAAGAUGAAACUGACACAUCAGAGAAUUCUCUGACUCAUGAGAUGGAGACAUCUGCUACAGAGAAAGUGGGCUAAACUGUAAAUAAAGACAAAAAAUGCAAGAGAUAACAGAAAUGUCCUGACUCCAACAGGAAGGAGGAAGGAGGAAGGA
rnacentral:lncRNA from 10 species